ACGCUCGACACCUACGGGGGGCAGCAGUGGGGAAUAUUGCGCAAUGGGGGCAACCCUGACGCAGCAACGCCGCGUGAGCGAUGAAGGUUUUCGGAUCGUAAAGCUCUGUUCUGAGGGAAGAUAGUGACGGUACCUCAGGAGAAAGCCCCGGCUAACUACGUGCCAGCAGCCGCGGUAAUCUGAGCGGGCUGGCAAGGC
rnacentral:rRNA from 1 species